rnacentral:rRNA from 1 species
CACGUAGGGUGCGAGCGUUGUCCGGAAUCACUGGGCGUAAAGGGCGCGUAGGUGGUUUGAUAAGGGUGUGGUGAAAGCCCGGGGCUCAACCCCGGGUCUGCCGUGCCGACUGUCAAACUCGAGGGCUGUAGAGGCAGACGGAAUUCCGGGUGUAGCGGUGGAAUGCGUAGAGAUCCGGAGGAAGACCGGUGGCGAAGGCGGUCUGCUGGGCAGUUUCUGACACUGAUGCGCGACAGCGUGGGGAGCGAACAGGG